rnacentral:lncRNA from 1 species
UUCCUUUUCUUGUUUAAAAAAAAGUUAAUUUUCAACCUGGAAGCUGGAGUACAGAUACAUUCUAGUCCGAAACACAAACAGGGGGCUCUGUUAACCAGGAAACGGCUAGCUAGAAGCUAAUUGAAGUACGGAGCUCAUCAGCUCCACUUCCAACUAUGAUGCUAUACCGAUACUAUACAUGAAUUUACAAUAUUUUCUGCUCAUGGGUCAUUUCUGUUGGCUAGCUCAAUAGAAGAUCUUUCCGGGGAAGGGAAUGUCUCUGGAGAUGCUGAUCCACUUGGAGUCAGAUCACCAUGCCCUGUAAACCUUCCCUGGUCUACAAAGAAAACAAACUGUGAAGAAUGUGUCUGGCUUGAGUAGCUUGAUGGAAUUGGGGGGCAGUUAGUGUUUGGUGAGCUUCCAACAACACCAAUGCUGUGAACACUGUGAGUGCUGCUUGCAUCUCUGACUUCGCUUUUUCUGAAAGUAUGGGAGCUCAGGUCUUUCUGGUCAAAGAUUCUCGACAUAAUUCGGAUUCUUCUCCACACUGAAGUAUCAUGGAACUGAAACAAGACAUGCCGUUGUUCGUGCAAGAACAUUGCUGAAUAUAUGAUGAGAGCUGACAUAGAUGCAGUCCCAGCAAUUAGGAACAGGCCCCAAAAGCUCUCCAGACCAAGACUGCUUGAAGAAACAGAAGGGUCAACGUCAGGACAGACAGUUCCCUUCUUUAACCAAAAGUUUUCAAUUUGUUCCAUUUUGUCACUUUCAGUAACAUUAAGGAUUGCCCUUGAAACAUCUGCUACAAGAGGGGAACCUUUAGGGAAGGCCUACAAAAAGCAACAUAAAUAAAAAUCAGCAUGAAACAUUAAGCAUAUCAUAUAGAAUGAAGGAAGCUAGAGAGAAAGAGAUUGACAGAGAACUCACGAAUCCAAAGCCAGCGGUUUUAAAUGUUGGUUCUACUGUAGUAUAUUUGCCGCAGUAUUUAGAAAGAAAUAGCUUAAUAUAAGGAUUUUCAUCCAAAGCAGCAGAAAUACCGCCAUUGGCACUUCCUUUGGUAAAAAGUUCAUGAAGUUCUUCUGGAGAAUUAUAUUUCUUGAGCUGGAAGUUUUCAAAUUUCAAACCCAACAAGAUUCCUUCAACGAAGCAGCCAUUCAAUAAGCCAACGCUCUCCCUUCUCUUCACGAGCUCAUUGAUAUCAGUUACAGUGGGCUGGAGCUGCUCAACUGUUAAAAGAGAGCUCAAAUUUGCCGUAUAACUUUGGGUGAGAACGAGAACGACGAAACACCAUACAAUUACCACAAAUCUAGCCAAAUUGCUAACAACUUUCUCCCCUGUAAUAUUUUUCAAUUCAAGAACAAAAAAAUGAGGUUUAAAAUGUUGGAUCGAAAUGCAAUAUGUUUAUAAAUUGAAAAGGUGAAAGGGGUUAUUACGAUAGGCAAACACCAUGGUUGAGAAGGAGAACCAGAAGCUGGUGCCGAUUUGAUGUGCAGGGGGUCCACGGAAAUCCUCGUUUAUUCUGUGCUCGAGAAUCCAAACAACAAAUCCGAUGAAGACAACGAAGCAACCGCUCGUUACCCAGAGGUCCCAUGUCAAAGGCUUUAAGAAAACCCAUGCAUUCUUUUCCUUGUUAUCUUUGAUUGGCACGAUCAUCGACACACCAGAUUCUGUGUAUGGCAAGGUGAAGUCCACAAACAAUGACCUGUUUGCCACGAUUGUUGUAUCUCCUACCACAGCGUCAUAAUUCUGCUCAUAGCAGUCAAUGGUCAAAAGAGAAUAAAAUAAAUUGAAGCUAUGCAUGAAACCAUAGUGGUGAAUUAUAGCAAUAGACAAAAGGAUUGAAGGAGGAGACUUACCCCAUAGUACACUUGAUCAAUUAAGUCAUUGUAAGACCCAGCAGGUUCUCCAUCAGGUGUUGCAAAUGGAACAAACUCAUAAGGAACAGAAUAAGGCAUGUUUUCCAUUACAGCAUCGAAAACAUCAAUGCAAUACCCUUCAAUUGAUUUUGCUUUCUGAGUGAUAGGAUCCCACACUACGUCAAGAAAUUCAGUAAAACCAACUUUCACUGGAACCCCAAUUCUCAAUGUCUUCCCAUUUGUCGGGAUCUGCCAACCUUUGGGAACCAAGUUAGUAUCCCCUGGCCAUAUAAUGGGACCCAGUUUUGGCUUAGAAGUGGAAUUAGUGCUUGCGUUUGUGUUUAUCGAAUUCAACUGUCUUACAAGUCCAUUUUCGGGUGUCCAAAACCCGACCUCUUUUUCCCCACUUCCAAUUACGUUAACUAUCUGAAACACGGAUGACUGUAAUUGUCCUUUAACAAAAUGAAAGUCUCCGGUAAGGCCUUUGAAUUUUGUGCUUGAUAAUUCCUGGAUGAGUCGUGGACCAUUGUGUGAGACUCCCAAAGUUUCAAGGUCCGUCUCACCACUGCUGGAAAUAGUUGGUUUAAUGAAGUGGAGGUUUUCAAUGCCAGCUUUCUCAAUUGCCAUUGCCAGCGCAAAAGUUGCAUCAUAAGCCCAUAGUCCCACAAUGCUCAAUUCGGCGUUAAUGGAGUCCGGAUUCUCUUGCUGGAACUUCCUUUUCCAGCGAACUGUAAAAUUUUCUAUCUUUUUUGAUUUGGCAACAUAAGACUUUACACCUACAACCCCCUGCAUGGAAUCGAUGGGUGAGGCAUCUAUUGAUCUCCACAGAUUAGUCAUCCCAUCAGUCAUGAUCCAGACAUACCCUUCACUCAUCAUUCCAAUCUCUUUUGCUCUGGCCAAAAUCCGACUGCCAAGAGACAUUGUCAUGUGCACAAUGAACACUCUUGUUUGCAUGGUCAUUAACUUGUAAAGUUCUUCAGCAAUUUUGUCAUCCGUAGCUGACGUAGCAAUGGCACUCAGAUAUGGGACGCGAGUGUUGAUCUCCUGUAAGGCAUCCGUCAUGUAAGGUAUAAGGCUCUCCCCAUAGUGGUUGUCAACGUAGAUGGGUACAGCCUCUCUCCAUCCAAAAGCCUGGACAAUGGCACUGAUCGCUUUCACUUGAUUUGAGCUACUUUGUGCAGCUAGAAAAAAAUAUGGACUCUGGAGGGAAGUGAGAGAAGGACUUGUUGCAGACAACGAUAUGAUGGGAACCUGAGAUUUGUUUCCGAGAUUGAUAACAAAGUUGGCUUGCAUUGAACUUCUCGGUCCUAUGAUUGCUUGCACUUGUACAUUUUUCAUCAAGUCUAGAGCUGCUCACCAAGGGAAUUGACAAAAAUUCUGACUUAAUUAUUCAUCCUGAAAGAUUUAACAUGCUACAGGAAGAAUAAACAUUAAAAAAUAAAUAUGGCACUGGCCUGCUGACUCGGUUGAAAAAUAAAUGUAAGUCUGACUUGAAAGUUGAAAGCUAUUAAAAAUAUUAGCACACAGUUGUGCGAUGAGCAACGAGCAAUGACCAUGGAGGGAAGAUCUAUUCUAACCACAUCAUGGUCAAUUGUUCUUUUAUUAUAAUUAGUUGGAGGUCAACUCUUCUGUCAGAGUAUUUUGCCUAGUAAGUCUAUACCCGAUCAGGGAUUGGUCAUUGGUGCAUACAAUAGUCUUCUCUACGGUAUAUUUAAUUUUCUAACGUCUGGGGUACUCCUACAACCAAACACUUUUCCCUGUCACUAUUAUCAACCAUCUCUUUCCAUCUGCUUUCAUGAACGUAAUUUAAGGAGAAACAAAUUACCGGCGGAAUCAUUUAGGCUAGCGUCGGUUUGGGUUUAUUGCUGGCUGGCGGAGAGAGCCUAGGGCUUCUGCCUGAGAGAGUCCCUGACUGUGAUCGCUUGUAUAUAUAUAAAUCAUGCAUGCUUUUCAUAAGCAAAGCAAAAAAUUCUAUAUCCAAAUAUACAUCUAAACGUCAUACUGGUUCAAAAAGCAGCAGAUAUCGGACUAAUUUUUUCAGGUUUUUCAGAGAGAAAGGUAACAAUAUGGACUGAUUAUAUAUUAGUAAUAGUUUCAAAAAUGAAUCAAAAGAAAUUAAAUUAUGGGUACGUUGUGUAAUAAAACUUCAUUUGAUAAUGUUCAUAGAGAAAUGUAAUAAGCACCCACAGCCUUGACAAGAUGAUCGGAGCAGCCAGAAAAAGGAAGAAAAAAUUAGAAUCAAACUACUCUAUAUCGAUAUUUUGAUAUCUCAGUAACUUAAUUUCAUCAAGAAUAACAGAAUAAGUUCAAAUAAAAAGGUGAGUCGAUAACCUGGAAGAAGAAGAAGAGGGAGAGAACGUACCGGCAUCAGCGGCAGCGACGACGUCUUCCUUGGAGUCCCUGAUGUUCAAGACCAUCCUGGUUUUGUAGUGAGCAUGAGUGUCAUAAAAGUCUGAGAGGGCCAUGUUGAUGCAACUCAAACCAAUCUGACCAACCAAGGAAUCCAUGUCAAGAACCACACCUACGUUAACUUCGGUGGUUGUGUUUUGAGUCAGGACCCCUUCUAGCAAGAAAAUGAAGACACAGAACAGAUGAAAAAUGGGUUUGGUAGAGCUCCUCAUCAUCUUUGGAGCUGAUCUUCUGCUCUUGAACACGGUUUUCCCACAGACAAAUAUCAGUACUUAGAGGAAUAGGAUGACAGAUUUGAAAAGUAGUAUGGAUAACACGUCUAGACGAAGAAGUGGUCAACAAAUAUAGUGCAUGGGAAUACAAAAUUAUUUAGUCCUGGAAUAAUUGACCCUUCUGCUUUUUGUUAUUUUUUAUAAAAAAGUUAAACAUUAAAAACAAAAAGAAUCAAUGAAAGGAAACUUGUGAGCAUGACUUGUAAUCUUUCUAGUUAUCCCUAAACACAUGAUUUAAUAAUAGUUUAAUUUAAGAAGAAAUUGUGAGAAAGGGACCUCGUGACAAAGUGAUUUUAGAAAUAACGAUCUAUAUAAAAUUAUCUGUUUCUAGCCAAAAAUAAGCAUGAGUAGACCAAAAUACCCUUAAAAACAUUGUUUCAAAUAAACGCUGAGUUGUUUGAGCUAUCUGCAUCCCGCUAGAGAGAAAAUAGAAAAAAAUAAAUAAACGCACAUAGUUGUUUGGGCUCGGUCAUCUUUCUCUCUAAACUCUGAACUGUCUCAACUCUAGCAAGUCUCUGUUGAGCACCAUCGUUAUCGGGCUGUGGUCUAUCUCUCGGCAUCUAGCUACAUUGUCGAAGAUUAACAGACCUUAUAGCAGAUAUGACAUCAAGGUACUUGUUAUUGGGUUUAUUUAUGCAACACACUUAAAUUUUUAAAACAUUUGGUGUAAAUUAGAAGAUGGAAUGGAAACAUUGCCCAGAGUUGUUACACGUCAUGCAUCUAUAACAUGUAUUAGAGUUAUUUUAGCGUGUCACAGCUUUUCGUGGCGUGUUGUGGGUUAACUAGUUUUUUGGGUUGUUAGCGUGUCACGGCUGUUCCUGGCGUGUCAUGGGUUAACUGAAUUUAUGGAUUUUUUGCGUGUCACGGUUGUUCCUGACGUGUCGUGGGUUAACUGGUUUUUUGGGUUUUUAACAUGUCACGGCUGUUGGUGUAACGGGUCAGUAAUUACAAUGAUUGGCGUGUCACGAUAUUUGACUUGAUAUGCAUGGCGUGUAACAACACGACAGAUAAAUUUUUUAUUACGGCAUGUAUUAUGUAAAAUGAUUGACAAUAAUUUUUUUUUCAAAAUUUCAGUGGGAUUCCAAUUGUGUGACUUGUGAUAAGACACGGUGGUCAGUGGGUAGAUGGCAGUUACAAAAGUGGUGAGUCACGAAUGCGGGGGGUUAAGAGUGAUUUGUUGUUUGUGGGCUUGAUGAAGCUGGUUGAAGAUGUUGUUGGGGUAAACUUAGAAAUUGACGAGAUUGAGUUACAUGCACUAAUCAGUACACCCGGAGAGCUAUCACGGUCAAUUAUCAAGGACGAUGAGGAUGUUGCAUUAAUUUUGCUAGAACAGAUGAAUGUUCUGGCUGUGUAUGUCAGCAUUAAAGGACGUCAAACAAAUGUUAUGUCACAUGAAGAAGUUGGACAACAUGGUAAUCAGCUCAAUCAAAAUGAGAUUUACAAUGCUUCACAUAUACCACAGCAUUCUGUCCGUAACCCAUAACAAUGGCAAUUGAGGUAUGCACAAGAGUUUGUGCAACCCGAUAGACAGACGACAUUCACAGAACAGUUGGCUGCACAAUUCCGAUCAGGAUGUGCAUCAAACCAAUUUCUUGCUUCUCUUGAACAAAUGCAAUGAUCGAGUGAAACUGUAAAGUGUGUAAUGCCAUUGUCAAAUGAGAAUACGACCGUUGAGGACAACAAUGUGAGGUUGGAGGGUGACACUGCGACGUUGGAGGAUAAUACUGCAUUUGAUGAGGGAAAUGAGGAUUUUUUCACUGUCAGUGAAGAUAGAUUUGAUGACACUUCAGAUGAUGGGCUUGAACAAUGGCAAGAUGACAGUUCAGACGAUGAUUGCCUUUAUGACAAUGACAUUCCAAUUUGCAAUAAUGUUGAAGGCGAAACGGAACCUGUUGGAGGUGUUGAUGAAGGAGAUGUUCAGUGUGAUGACCCCAUAUACAAUAACCCCAUCGCUGGUGAGAACGGGAUUCAUUCCCUUUAUACAUUACUCAAUCAUAGUGAUCAAGAAAGGGGAAAUGCAGGGAUAUCUCGUACGUGGGUAAUUGCAGGUGCAGAAAGGUUCUCCUUCCAAACAAUUACCAUUGAGGAGUCGACAUGUGCCGAAGAUCGCUUAUACAAAGGAAGAAUGUUUUUGUCGAAGGCUGAGUUGAAACGAGCUUUGAACAUGUUGAUUAUAAAAAAAAAGUUUGCGAUAAGAGUAAAAAGGUCAUGUAAAGCUCGUUAUGAGGUUGGUUGCAAGGAUAAGGCAUGCAAGUUCAGUGUUCGUGCAACGAAGUUACCUAAUAGAGGAGAAUAUUGGCAAGUUCGGACAUUCCACAAAGUACACACCUCUACCGUUGAUGGUUUGCAAGGGCAGUUUGCAACUACGAGUGCAAAGAUGAUUAGUGAACUUAUGUCACGCAAGCUUCAGGCUAAUGGAGUAGCAUUGAGACCUAAGGACAUAAUUUGUGAGAUGAAAGUUUAGUGGGGAUUGGAAUGCUUAUAUGGUAAGGCUUGGCAAGCGAAGGAGUAUGCGGAGAGACUAGUUUUCGAUCCACCGAAAGAGUCAUUUCAACUACUACCAUCGUAUUUUUAUAUGUUGGAACAAGAAAAUCCUGACACAGUGACUACAGUGGCUACUGACGAGGAAAAGAGAUUCAAAUAUUGUUUCUGGUCAUACGGGGCUUGUAUUCGGGGGUUUAGGGAUGCAAUGCUUCUUAUGGUUGCAAUUGAUGCGACACAUCUCAAAGGCAGGUUCAAGGGUGUUCUGUUUGUCGCUGUAUGCAAAGAUGCAAACAAGUGCGUAUAUCCAAUUGUGUUUGGUAUCGGCCAUGUUGAGGACGAAGACUCGUGGACAUGGUUUCUUAGCAAGUUGCGUGAUGCAGUUGGUUGUCCUGAAAGCAUUAUGUUCAUUUCUGAUCAGCAUCUCAGCAUUAAGAAAGCAAUCCAAAAUACAUACCCAGAAGCGCACCAUGGUUUAUGCGGUUACCACUUGAAAAAAAACUUUAAAAACAAGUUCAAGCGUGACGAUGUUUGUAUGCUUUUCACCCUUGCUCGAGAUUACUAUAAGGUGGCCUAUUUCAACAGACAUAUGAACCAGAUACAACAGAUUCACUCAGGAGCCCACGCGAACCUUAUGAUAAUAAGGCUUGAGAAAUGGGCAUGUGCAUGUUCACCGGUAAGGCGAUACCAAAUGAUGACAUCCAACAUUGAGGAAUGUGUUAACUCAUGCUUGAAGCAUGCAAGACAAAUGUCAAUCACUGUUUUGAUCGAGUUCAUCAGAGACAUGUUCCAGCGUUAGUUCCAUGACCGGUACGAGGAGGUCGUCAAGGUGAGCAUGCCCCUCAGCCUUUGGGUUGCCAAGCAGUUGAGCAAAAGGUUCAAUGAUGCACAUCACUUUUUAGUUAAGCCUAUCAAUCGAGUGAAGUUUGAAGUUAAAGACGGGAAGAUGGACGGAGUUGUAAACCUGUCCAAGAAUACGUGUUCAUGUUGUGAGUUCCAAACAGAUUUACUGCCAUGCAGCCAUGCCAUUGCAGCAAUAAGGUCAUAAUAUAUUUAUUUCUUAUUUGAACCGUAAUUGACAUAUCAUUUACAUUGUGCUUGAAGAUUGAGUUUAUUAUGUUUUUCAGUAAAUGCAAUCGUGAAGCCAUUAAAUUUUGCGCUGACUACUACAAGACAACCAUUUUGGUGGAGGGUUAUUCAGGAUCCAUAAGGUCGGUUGGGCAUCCUAGUAGUGGGACAUCCCCCUUCAUGUGAAAUAAAUUGUCGUCUUGCCCCCACCUUGGUGAGGCCAAGUGGGAAGACUUAGGAGGAGAAGGAUUCCAUCCGCUGGUGAAGGUAGUCGAGCACGGAGAUGUUUGCAUUGCAAGAGGUACGGGCAUAACAGAUAGAACUGCCCAUCCCCAUUUGCAGUUUCAUCCACAAAUUCGGCACCAUCUCCAAGUCAAUCGAUGCCUCCACGACUGCGCCGAGCCAAAGCAUGUUCAAGUUGCAGACAAACCGGUCACACACGCAACAAUUGUCCAAUACGAAGGACAAUGUCUAAAAAUGUAGGGUGUGUUGUGGAUGAAGACAGCUUGUCUGCCUAACUAAAUGUGUUUGAAAAUUAACUGCAAUAACAUAUAUAACUAUGUUAUUCAAUAAUCAUAUAUGGAAUUGUUGAACAUUAAUCGUUACAACUUUAAUAUCCUAACCGACGGCUCGUUAGCAAUCUGCGGUGGAGCCGGACCUGUCGGUGCUUGAGGACCAAUUGUCUCUUCCAUAAACUGCAAUUACAUAUAUAAUUGUGUUAUUCAAUAAUCAUGUAUGGAAUUGUUGAACAUUAACCGUUACAACUUUAAUAUCCUUACCGUCGGCUUGUUAGCUGUAUGCGGUUGAGCCAGACCUAUCGGUCCUUGAGGACUUGUUGUCAUUUUUGUAAACUGCAAUUAUAGAAAUUACUAUGUUACUCGAGAAACAUAUGUGGGAAUGUAGAACACAAACUGUUAGAACUGAUCUUACCGACUGCUCAUUUCCAUUGUGCAUCUGAGGAAGACCGGUGGGUGGUUCUAAAGCUACCGACGCAUGGUCCAACUGUAAACACAGAAAUGCUAUUCGAUAAUCACAUAUGAAAUUGGAGAACACAAAACCGUUACAAUUGUCCUUAUUGGCUAUUCACUGCCUUAACCAUGGUCGUCCCCUUCGUCUAUCAACUCAGGGCCUGACAGCUCAUCAACUAAACCAGCGACGGUGCGUAUCCGCUUCGUGCCACCAGAGGCUCUUUUCUCUUUCAAUGUUCUCUUUUUUUGCCUCGCACCUAUGCCUCAAUCCUACCGAUCCUCCAUGUGCUCUAUUGGCACGUACUCGUGGCCUUCCGAUAACAGGACAUCAAGGUACACAAAAUACUCCUGGAGGGCCUCAUCCGCAGUGGGUUCCAAUGUCUCCAGUGACCAAAACUGCAUAUAAACAAAUAAAAUGUUAUCAUUAUCGAAUAAGGAAAAUUAUUAUACAAAUAUAACGUAAAAAUUAGCAACUGUUCACUCACAUCGUCAAAUGACUCUAACUUCUGAAUUGCCUUGUAGAAGUCUUUAGGCUUCUGAUUGUAAUCCUAUUUGCACAUUCAUGGGUACACGUUGUCCUUUGGACCAGAGGGGGCAACUAUUUUUCAGAGAGCAAGAAUUGCCUCCAUUGUCCAGAACUGCAUGUCAAAUGUAACCAUUAUCAGAUCGUAAAUCAUAAACAAGUAUACCAAUUAAUUAUUUUUUCAAAAGAAAACUGAAAAAUGUUACGUGAUAGUACCUGUAUCACCCAUGCGAAUCCGUAUAUGUUGUAGCGUAACCAAGUUUCCUUUGUCACGCUUGACUCAAGCACUUCAAAUCCCUUCAAAAGGUAGUCCAAGGUUAGCUUUCAAACAUAGUGACCCCAUGGGAAGACAUUCCAAGCGUCGAUGUCCUCCACCAAUGACAGCAACCAAGGCGUCACCCAUCGACAAUAAUCUUGACCAAAAAAAAAUGUUGUUCGCGAUCAAGAAGAGUGCCAUCUUCGUCGCGUCUCCUGAUUGCUGGAAGUUGCCCCCGCAAAACGUAUCAUGCAAAGCUUGCAGCUUGACACUGUUCUGCCCAUUCCAGUAUCUGUCAUGAAUUCCCCCCUCAGCAAUCUUGUACGGUCGUCUAAACACAUCGAGCAUUGGACCAAACUUCAGCCCGGUGAUGAGGCAGAACUCCUGCUUUGACAGCCGUGCCUUGCUCUUGCCAAUGGCAAACCAUAGCUCGUGGUCCAUUGACUGGCUCUCACUGAUCCGCCAAAUCAUGAUGUUGUGCAAGAGAUCAGAGUAAAAGUACCCUUGUGGAUAGACGUCUAAGAUCAUUCCGAAGUAGGUACGUUUAACUACAUCAUACUCCCCCUUCUAUUGGAGAGUCUUUGUUCUGUAAUGCAGCUGCGACCACUUACAAUGGGUGUUAAUUACGACGUUGAACGCCCCCUUCUCCCUCGGCACGAUCAGCAAACUAUCAAGAUCCUCAUACUGUUUACGCUGGAUCUGCAAAACAUGGCACACAUGCACCAGUGAGUUAAGCCGUCAUGUGCAACAAGGUAUACUGAAGACAUAAAUAAGGAAUGAAUGUUGUGACACGCCAUUCAUAGCAAGCAAAAUGUUAUGACACGCCAUGCAUAACAACUUAAAUGUUGUGGCACGCCAUGCAUAACAACUUAAAUGUUGUGACACGCCAUGCAUAACAAGUUAAACAUUGUGACACGCCAUGCAUAACAAGUCAAAUGUUGUGACACGUCAUGUAUAUCAAGUAAAAUGCUGUCACACGCCAUGCAUAGCAAGUAAAUUGUUGUGACACGUCAUGCAUAUCAAGUAAAAUGCUAUCACACGCCAUGCAUAACAAGUAAAAUGUUGUGACACGCCAUGCAUAUCAAGUCAAAUGUUCUCACACGCCAUGCAUAUCAAAUCAAACCAUAUAAAGCUGACACGCCAAUAACUAACUAUAAUAACAAGAAUAACAAUGGCGUCACCCGAUAAACACCCAAAACCCCUAAAACCACUAUGACUUAACCCCAACAAUCAUCAAACCAGACCCUAAACAUAGUCUAAACAUUUGCAAUACAAAAUAAAAAACCUGAACAUAUCAAACAAAUUCAGGAAAAAACCCAAAAAUUAACGAACACAAGAAUAUUUUAAUUUGAGACUCACUGACCUCUUCAUUCAUGGUCGACAUUGUUAUUGGUGCUCUGGUGUCCUUACGCUUGCAAAGAGCCUUCUCGAACACUCCGGUAUUGACGAGAAUGAGAAAUGAAUCACACAGACGUUACGAAUUCUGAAUAAUAACUGUUUAAAAUGAAAUGAAAAAUGGCCUUCUAAUAUUCUUAUUUAUUCUGAACAGGGGGAAGGAGAAUUAAUUGAGUGGAAGUCUAAACAGUUACCACAUUAACUGCCUACUUUUUUUUCCUCUCUCUAUUUUAAACCAUGACAUAGUAGCUGCUCAAGCAUUGACGUGUCACACACUCUAAGCCAUGACCAUGGCGUGUCAGCUUUUCAAGCAAUGCCGUGUCACACACUCUAAACCAUGACCAUGUCGUGUCACCAACUCUGAACUUUAGAGUGUCACAACUUCCCUCCAUGGCAUGUCACCAACUCUUAACUCUGGUGUCUCACAGAUUCCCUCCAUGGCGUCUUACCAACUUUGAACACCGGCGUGUCACAGAUUCCCUCCAUACCAUGUCACCAACUCUUAACUCUGACGUGUCACAGAUUCCCUCCAUGGUGUGUCACCAACUCUUAACUCUAGCGUGUCACACAUUCCCUUCAUGGCGUCUCACCAACUCUAAACGCUGACGUGUCUGACGUCUCACAGAUUCCCUCCAUGGCAUCUCACCAACUCUGAACACUGGAGUGUCACAGAUUCCCUCCAUGUCGUGUCAUAAACUCCUAACUCUGGCGUGUUACAGAUUCCCUCCAUGGCAUCUCACCAAAUCUGAACGCUGGCGUGUCACAAAUUCCCUCCAUGGCGUGUCGCCAACUCUUAACUCUGGCGUCUCACAGAUUCCCUCCAUGACGUCUCACCAACUCUAACCAGUGUCGUGUCAUAGCCGUCUCACACAUUCCCAACAUGACGUUUCACAAACUCUAAACCCUGCCCUGCUACAGUCGACUCACAUAUGGCCUGCUAUAGCAGGACCAUUUCUUGCUUUGGAUUCACAUCUUUCUCCUUUCAAUUUACCACUGUAUCAAGGAUUUCUGAUUUCACAUCAUUAGCCAAGCUUUUGAUUCAUGACAACUGGUUCCUCGUUCGAUUUAAUAUCUCUCUUCUCCUAUUAUCUGAAUGUCGUGUCCCAAAUCUCUGAAAACCCAUCUCAUGCAACAUUAUUUUGUUUUGCACAACCUUCGCAAAAAAAAAUUAUGGGUAUAUUGUACAAACAAUCUUCGCAUAUUUUUUUUUCUCCCAUUUUUCGCCUGUUUGAGAGUGCACGCUAACGAAGAUGGCUCAUUAAGAGCAUUUUUGUCUCAAAAUCAUUCUGGUCGUUAAAAACAGUUAAAAUUAUUCUGAAGAUUAUUUUAAAAAAUACGUUAUUUUUAAGGGUUAAAAACAAAAUCCCCCUUAAUUUAAUAAUAGGGUUCCCAUCAGUUGGAAUGGGGCAACAGGAGGACUUGUCAAGGAGAGAAGGGAAAAUUACAGGAGUGGAACGUAAAUGGCCUUCAAAUAUAACCGCGACAUUUUGUCUUAUGUAAUUAACGUUUACCUUGACCUAAUCAAAGCGGAAUGUUUGCUUCUGCUCAAGAAAGAGAAGACAAACUCUAAUUCUAGUAAUACAGACUGCAAAUUAAUGUAGUAUUGACGAAUGGUUUGGUUUUCUUGCUCGUUUAACCCAUCAUUUAUAAAUCAACAAAUCAUUUAUUGUCGAAUUAAAUUCGAAAUUAGCUAUCUUUUUAAUGUGUAAUGACCAAUCAAGAUCCUGAGAUAAUGAUAAUGAGAUUAAUAGUUUGAAACGUAAAUUUUAUAUUUCUUUUGUCGAAUGUCAAGUUGAAAUUUAAGCUUGAUUGUUUAAUUACUUGUUAAAUAUAUAUUCAGUUUUUUUCGUUUCAGGAUUCUCGACUAUAUCAAUUUGAUAUAUAUUAAUAAAAAUUCUUUUGAUUGAGAAAAAAAUUAUUUACUUUACAGUAUCAAAAAAUCAUGUGGAGACAGCUAGGCCCAUGGGGAUUCCAUGAUGAUGUAAAACUAAGAAAGGGCAGAAGGUCAGAUCAAGCCGUAAAGCUUCAACCAAACUUUGUUGUUGGUUUCUGUAAGAAAAUGAAAGGAAAGACUUGACAAACAAAAUGCAGCUUUGUUCUUAACCUUGUUGACUCGAGCAAGCAAAACGUGUGUAGUUUUAAUUUUUUUUCUUUUGGGGGAUCUUCAAACAAAACGAGUGAUACGUAAAGAGAUGGAAAUUCCAUUUCGGUAAUGUAAAAUUUGUAGAAUAGUUAAAUUAACUUGGUAUUCUCUUUGACUAAAAAGAGAAGAUCACUUGAUCAAAUGAAUAAUUGAUAAUCAAACCAAAUCGGGACAUAAUUUUCACUGAUGGUAUUCAAUCUUAUAGUAGUAUUCAUCAUUAGAAGAAAUUUCAAGCUUUAACUGGAAUAAUUUAAAACAUGGAGUAGUUUUGAGUUAUUUAGAUUUUAAAAGGUAAAACGUUUUAAAAAUUUCAGAACUAUUUUAGAAAAUUCAAUUAAAUUUGCAUUUUUUUAUUAUGUUAAAUAAAAUUUUUAUAUUUUUAUUUUGAAUUAAAUAGACAUUUAUGAUUAAUAGUUAACUUAUUAUCGUUAAUCAAAAUGGUAUACAUCAUUUUUAUGUUCACGUGUUGUUGACAUAAUAUUGACAUGAAUGACGAAAAAUAUCAUGUGAUCAUGUCAUUAUGCUACAUAAACAUACCAUAUCAUCAUACACUAUGAUAUGUCAGCAUACCAUAUUAACAUCACGUGAUAUAAAAAUGAUAAGUAACGUUUUGUAUAAUAACAAUUAAUCAAUCAUUUUCUCAAGUUUCAAAUAAAAAGAUUAUCUACCUACUUUUUGCUAAAAUCCCCAUCAACGAAAUUCUCCACUUCCUUAUUAACACAAAUUAAUACUAUACCUAAAGUUUUAACAUGUAUAGAUAAUAUAAACGUUCAAUGUUUUUUAAUAUAAAAAUAAAAACUAUGAAAAAUAAAUAAUAUGGCAUAUAUUAUGUGAUUUGCGAAGAGGAAUGAGUCAAUGAAAAUAGAGUAAGAGAGCAACCGGGAAUCUAAGCAACUUCCAAUUUGGAUUUUCUAUUAUCUCUUUCAUCCUCUUCACCAAAUCAUACGCAACAUAUUACCCUUUUUCUUUUUUCUUUUUUCUUUUUUCUUUUUUUCUUCAUUUUUAUCCCGAGUCUAACUCAUGCUUAAACAGUUUGACUUCCAAUCUUAGGGAGUCACCUCGACUUCUUGAAUUGAACAUGUGUAAUAUGCCUAAAUAAUAAUAAUAAUAAUAAAAUAAAAAAGACUUUUUGAAAUAGAGUAGAUAUAUUUUAGUUGGUGUCAGAUUACGUUAUCACAUUUAAAAUAAAAUCAAUCAGUCUUACCUUAUUGUAUUAAAAAAAAAACAAUCAGUUAAUCUUAUCAUAUUUUAAAAUAAAAGUAAUCAGUUUUAUCUCAAUAUGUUUAAAAAAAAAAACAGAAAACUCACUUCAGUUUAUUUCAUCAAACUCAAACGAUAGGCAGUUAGAAGAGUUAAACACCAGAAAAGAAGAAAUAUGGAGGAAAGGGAAAAAUAUUUAAAAGAUUGCUGAUUAAGGUAUGUUUAGGGUUAUAUUUUCAUAGUUUUGGCACAAAAGCUUUAAAUUAUUUGUGUUUUCUUACCUUUUAUUCAAAUCCAACACUUUUUCGAUGACUUUUUGGUGACAUGAUGGGUACCAAUGGAAAGGUCUUGAAAAGAUCUUUCAACGGUUUUUGUAGCAUCUCGUUUGGUCCUACAGUUAGGAAGAUAUGAAUUUUUGAAAUUAAUUGGAAACCUGAUUUUCAACAGUUUUGACAAUCCAACUUUGGGUCAUCGGAACUCUAUAUUCCGUUAACAUAUUUGCUUAUUUCUUUAAGGGCUUUUGUAGUAUGAAAUGAGAUGUUUAAUUUGGUGUCAAUGGCUUAGUUAGGGGCAUCCUGUAUUAAGAGAAUUAAAACCUCAAAAUAGACACGAUGAUACUGGAAACUCAGAAAUCUGAGUAUUUCUGUGAUGAUUUUGAUAUUUUUGGCUUUCGAAACUUGGGAAUUUUGUGGUCUUUUUAAUCAAAACAAAUUUUGGUGUUGUAGUAUGAUAUAAAUACUUCAUAUUGGUGUUGAUUUUAUCCCUGGAAAUAAGUCAGGUUAAAAGUUAUAAGAGCUUAAAAUAAGUCAAAUAGUCAUUCAGAUUCUGAAAAUUUCAGAAAAUAGAAAAGUCCUUUUAAAUUUGUUUUAAAAUUUGAUUUUAAUUAAUAUGUGAUAAAUUCUAUUGUAAACUUCAUAAAUAUUGAAUAUGUGAUUUCUACUGUAUUUUUAUGUCAAAAGGAAUAUAUCUUUAUAUUUUAUAAAUUUAUUUCUUAAAUUAGUAGAUUUUAUUAAAAUAUCAAAAAUUUAUGAAAAAUUAUAAAUAUGAUUUUUAUGAAUGAAAUUAGUGUUAUCUCUCUAUCUGAAAUUAAAAUCCUUCAUGAUUUUAUGAUUUAAGUUUAAUUCUCAACUUUAUUGAAAAUUCUAUUUAAUUCAAAAAUAUAUAUAAUAAUAAAAUAUUACCUUAUUAAUCGAAAAUGUUUUUAAAUUGUGCUAGAGGUCACUACACACCCUAAAUGCUUAGGAUGGCCAAUGGAAGUCACCUUGUAGGAUUCGUUGCAAAUUCAGUUCUGAUAUUUGUAUAUAUUUCUUGAAAUAUUAGGCAACUAGGAGGAUUGUCUGAUAUGCUGCUUAAAAGUGAAAUUGACAAAAUCAGGUAAGUAGCUAAUAUCCCCUCGGUGUUUUCACACCCUAAAAAUUAGCCUCAAUGUGGAUUUAAAUUUCAUAUAUUAUGUAUAAUAUGUUUUGUCCUAUGGUUUGUAAAAAUUGAGUUGAGUAUGCAAAAUAGAUACAUAUGAUUUUCGUAUGUUGGAUUUUGGAAUGUGAAAUUUUUGUCAAAUAUGAUUUUUGAUUUUGAAAUAUGAAUAUGAUUUUUGUCUAACAUAUGCAUAUAUGAUUAUCUUAGUGAUUACAUAUGUAAAUACUUAAAUUGAAAUAAAUAUGCUUUUGAUAUGCACGAUAUGUGUUUUGUGAAACAGAAUAUUACCAUUUUGUGAAUUUGAGUAAUCUAAAAAUAUAUGUUUCUAUUUUGUCUCUUAGUAUGGCUAUGCUCUGACCUUGCCGAUAAAGGUUAAAUGUUGGCCAUGUCGACAUGUAUUUUGUUAUUAGAGAUUGAUCUCUCAAUCGCACCACUAGUUACAGAAUAGUGGUAUUUGUGAUAUUUAUUUAGUACAGCCAAUAGUUGUUUUUGAUAUAUUUCUGAUCUAUGCCACCGGCGUUGAUUGUGGAUUUAUUUCUGACUUAUACUACAAGGGUUAAAUGUAAUUGUAGCAUGUUACAAGAGACCAAUAAAUGUAUGAAAUCAAUGUGAAAUUAUGUUUUGUUUUGUUAUCUGAAAGUUUCAAAAUUGUGUUAGCUAUGUUAUCUAAAACGAAAUUAUGUUUGCUUAUGAAAUUAAAAAAUGAAAUUUUGAAAUAUAUGUUUUGAAUGAGAUUAUCCAAAAUUUUGUUUUGAUACCUAUAUACGUAUUCGUAAUUUGGCCUAAAUGUUUUAAGCAUGCUUAAUCCAGCUAAAGGGAUGUUAGUUACUUGUUGAAUAAUUAGACUCAGCUUCCUUCAAUUUUUUUUCAGGUUGUGAUUUGAUCAAUCACGCGAGAAUUUCGAGUAGUGAUAUUUAAUCUAGUAACAUUUAAAUUGUCUAGGAUUUAUUUAAAUAUUAUAAAUAUCAAACUAUCUUAAUUAGUAUUCAAACUUUUAUCUUGACAUAAUAGCUUUAUAAUUUUGGAGAUUUAAUUCUGAAUAUUAUCGAAUUAAUAUCUUUUAAAUUUCUACCUUUAGAUUUAGUUCUAUGAAUCACUAUAUUUUUCAAGUAUUAGUCUCUUCUAGAUAAUGUUAUAAGGUAUAUGUAUUAAACCAUUGCAUGUCUGUAAGAUUACAUCUUACAAGUAUAUGGCAUCUGUCAUGUCUCGGGUUUGGGGCGUGACAACAUGAGAUUGAAUUCAAUCUCUGAUGAUGAACUCAAUUUGAAUACACGUAUUUUAAAAAUUACUGUAUAACAUCAGUUGUAAUUGAUAAUGACAUUUACCUUUAAUAAUCUCAGUAGUCAAGCACAUUUUCCUGAGUUGAAAAAUUUAGUGCAGAUGAGAAACUUGAAUUAAAGCUACUCGACGGUGACUCAAAACUUUUAAAAGAAUUUACCCAAUUUUCUGCUUAUUUAUCUAAUCGAAUGUUCUAAUCUAAUCUGUCCCAAUAUAUAUAUAUAUAUAUAUAUAUAUAUGUUCAACUUUUACAAAUUAGAGUCAAUGUAAUUUGUUUAGAAACAACCAUGCAUAUGUAUUUGGGACCAUUAUCUUGAUACUUCUGACCCUUAGGCUCUGAACUUUCUUUUAAGGCUUAUAUUUGAGAUAUCGAUGAUAAUAAAAAAUUUAUAAGUUGAGAACAGAUAAUAUACAUAUAGUAGUAUUUCUUAGAAGUUUCUUUCAAAUACAAAGCUUGACCAGCAGGAGCGAAGCAAUCCACCUGUUUCCUUUUUUUUUCUCAUAUACUCUGUCAAAUUUCUAGUAAGAUUUGAUUUUACUGCAUCAGUUUCAUUUUUGGAGAAAAUGUUUCAGUUUCUCUUGAAUAUGUUGUUCCUGCUCCACUUACCAAAAAAAUUAAUGAUGAUCAAAGUAGGUAGUUUUCACUAGAUGAUAGCAAACUAGCAUUGGUUGGUUUCAAUUGUUGUAAAAACAGAAAACAGGGACAUCUACCUCAAAUUGUGAACUAUUUUGGUGCGGAAUGGAUUUUCAUGUACAACCUGCAAAAUUCUAUUGAAAGUUGGCUUCCAUUUCUUGUUUAAAAAAGAGUUACAUUUCAACCUGGAAGCUGGAAUGGGGAUACAUUCUAGUCCGAAACACAAACAGGGGGAUAUGUUAACCAGGAAACGGCUAGCUAGAAGCUAAUUGAAGUACGGACCUCAUCAGCUUCACUUCCAACUAUGAUCCUAUACCGAUACUAUACAUGAAUUUACAAUAUUUUCUGCUCAUG